UGGAUCUUGGUCAUGUGACAUUGACCAGUGAAUUCAUGUGACAUAUGUUAUGAAGUUUGUGACCUUUUACAGUGAAGGUCAUGCUACUUUGGGAAGGUCAUGUGCAGGGAUGGUAAUAUUCUGCUGAUCCGCAGAUUUCUGCCGAUUCUGUUUCAAAUUGAUCAAUUCUGUGAAUUGUCUAAAUCUGUUGAGAAACCCUGAACCCCCAUUUGAUGACACAAAGUUAUAUUUCCAGCUGAAAAUAGAUUUUCUGUUGCCAUCCCUGCAUGUGUUAUGUUGCAGUGUGAAGGUCAUGUGACAUCAUGCAGUGUGAAGGUCAUGUGACAUCAUGCAGUGUGAAGGUCAUGUGACAUCAUGCAGUUUGAAGGUCAUGUGACAUGCAGUGUGAAGGUCAUGUGACAUGCAGGUUGAAGGUCAUGUGACAUCAUGCAGUGUAAGGUCAUGUGACAUGCAGUUUGAAGGUCAUGUGACAUGCAGUUUGAAGGUCAUGUGACAUGCAGUGUGAGGUCAUGUGACAUCAUGCAGUGUGAAGGUCAUGUGACAUCAUGCAGUGUGAAGGUCAUGUCACAUCAUGCAGUUUGAAGGUAAUGUGACAUGCAGUGUGAAGGUCAUGUGACAUGCUGUGUGAAGGUCAUGUGACAUCAUGCAGUGUGAAGGUCAUGUGACAUGCAGUUUGAAGAUCAUGAGACAUGCAGUGUGAAGGUCAUGAAACCUGACGGGAGUCUUUCAGAAAUGAUACUUAAUGAUUGCUGGAAUGGGACAUGGUUCGACCGCUUGCAAUCUUGCCCUCUGUAGACAGUCAUAUGCUAAUCAUCAUAACAUGUCAUGUGACUGUAGACUCAUGUCAUGUGACAUCCUUGAGUCAUGUGACACCAUCAACAACCAGCUUGUAUCAAUUAUAAACAAUCAGGGCUUUGUCAAUAUCACAAGCAAUCAGAUCAUAACACGUUCCUCAUGCAGUUUGGUAACAAAUGACAAACAUACUGCCAUUGUGUGUCCUUCAGCCAUGUAUCUAAUGUUCCAUUGUGCGAUAUGUUUGUUCCUGAGUUGGCUUGUUGUGAUUGAAAGUGUAUAUCUUAACCAUGUUCUUGUAUGAAGGUGAAUAACACCAUAGUGUACAGGUGUGGCUGAAACAGGUGUUUCAGCAAUUUAGAAAAUAUAAUUAUCAAAAUGAUUGUAUAUUUUUUUGGGCAACAUGAUGAAACUUGUCAGAGAGGAGAAUCAAAUGAAAAAAUGCAAACCUUUGUUGUAGAGUGUCCUUGACAGUUUAUAGAAAAUGUUUCAUUUUCCCCCCAAGGAGGUGUGUCUCUAUGUCCCUAUGUACAACCCAACUAAAUGUCAUGUAUCCUACUCCAGAGAAAUUAAGGAAUAGUUAAUUCCCUGUUGUCAUCUGAAAAUAGUAUGGUGUUCCUUAACCUGUUGAGUAGCAUAUUUGCCAGAUGGUGCUGCAGACAGUGUAGCUUCUAUACUGUUCAACAUUUGAUAGGGAUGCUAUUCUCUGAUACACCAAACCAAUUAAUAGCGUAAAUAUGUUAUGAAACAUCUCAACAUCCCUAUCCAUAGUUUAGCAGAGUAGAUGCUCCAACAAUUAUUUCAAACUGGUUUCCAGCAACAAGUGAGUGAGUGAGUAUGGCUUUAACCUGCUGUUAGCAAUAUUCCAGAAAUAUUAAGGUGGGGGCCCCAGAAAUAGGCACACAUUGUACUUAUGGGGGGAAUCAAACCCAGAUGUUAGGUGUUCUGAGUGAACGCUUCAACCACUAGGCUACCCCUGCACCCUACCAGCAAGUAGUGGAGGAGACUUGUGGUCACAGUGAUGAUGACUCCUCACCCUAAGGACUUGAUUCCAUUUACUUUCAUUACAGUCAUUUGUCCUAAACUAGGAUAUGAUUUCUUCCAUAAUUUAAUCAAGUGAUAUGCCAGUCUACAAA